rnacentral:rRNA from 1 species
UCGUAGUGACCUGCGGAGGAUCAUUACCGAGUGCGGGCCCGCUGGGUCCAACCUCCCACCCGUGUUUAUCGUACCUUGUUGCUUCGGCGGGCCUCCGUGCCCGCCGGAGACACCUUUGAACGCUGUCUGAAGGUUGCAGUCUGAGUCGAUUUUUUUAAAUCAUUAAAACUUUCAACAACGGAUCUCUUGGUUCCGGCAUCGAUGAAGAACGCAGCGAAAUGCGAUAAGUAAUGUGAAUUGCAGAAUUCAGUGAAUCAUCGAGUCUUUGAACGCACAUUGCGCCCCCUGGUAUUCCGGGGGGCAUGCCUGUCCGAGCGUCAUUGCUGCCCUCAAGCCCGGCUUGUGUGUUGGGCCCCUGUCCCCGUGGACGGGCCCGAAAGGCAGCGGCGGCACCGCGUCUGGUCCUCGAGCGUAUGGGGCUUUGUCACCCGCUCUGGAGGCCGGACCGGCGCCUGCCGACCAACCUUGUAUUUUCUCCAGGUUGACCUCGGAUCAGGUAGGGAUACCCGCUGAACUUAAGCAUAUCAAUAAGCCGGA